rnacentral:lncRNA from 1 species
GGUCACAAUACAAAGAAUGUUUGAUGCAGGUUGAAAAGUCGAAAGAGUAGCUGCUGUAAGUCAGCCACAAUGGCUUGAAAUCUGCAAGCACCUACUUGGAAGAAACUUUUUCUGUACAAAAGAUGAAACUGAAGAACACAGUUGUGAAAGGAGAGUAACCUCUUUUGAACUGGACUGGGCUUUGGGCCAGUAAGAAGGCAGUUCAAGGGAGUUUCUAGGCGAGACCCAGGCAAAGGGAAACAACCCUUGUUAAGAGUGUCAGGCGGCUUUAAGGAGUGAAGUUUUGACCUUGAACUGUAGCAGAUACACCUGGGAAGAAUGCCAGACUGGACUUUGUUCCAUCAGUGGCCAAUGCGGUGAAAGGAUGGUGUUAACUUCAACUGAGGUUGGAUGCAAAGGUGAACUCAGUGACAUUCCUUGGAAAGAAAGAAGACAAGCAACCCCAUCAAGCCUCCUUGAUGCUGAAGUCAAGCCUCCUGACAUGCUGAAGUCAGACCUCUUGUGGUUUUGUGCCCUGGUCUUCAUUUAUGAGAAUGACUGAGUGACCACACAGAGAGGUCAAUGCCAUUGAAAGAAAAGUUUGAUGUUACCUACAGUUCCCAUAGAAACAAGAGGCCUGGCUCAGCACACGGCCACGGAAGGAAUACCAGGUUUUGGUCAAGGAAGUAGAGCAGGAGUAAGGGGAACACUUAGGCUCUGGUCUUUACUGGGGUUUCUAUAAGACCAACCAAGCAAGGCAGGGUAAAGGGUUUAGAAUUGGGCAGUUUGAAUAAUUCUGGCUGGCUUCGGGCUAUAACAUUGGUCUCUAGUUGCCUGGUACCUGGCCCUGGGAUGAUUAAAGCAGCAGGAUAUUUCCUCCUGGGGUGUAUAAACCAGAUAGAGGAAGUAUGGAUCUGGAUUGGUUAGUUUGCAUAUCAGAGGAAUGCCCUGGGCUGAAUUACUUGCUAUCUCUAAGAAUUGGCUAGUCCAGAAGGGACAGUUUCUCCCCAGCCAGGAAGUGUUUUAAAAUUAUUUUUUGCAUGUCAAAAUAUGAAAAUACACAGAAAAUAAAACAUAUAUACAAUAUACCUGGCA